UUUUUAGAUAGUUUAAUUAAAACACUAGGUUGCAAACCUAGAGAAAUUUCUAAGUA
rnacentral:tRNA from 1 species